rnacentral:rRNA from 1 species
UACGUAGGGGGCAAGCGUUGUCCGGAUUUAUUGGGCGUAAAGAGCGUGUAGGCGGCCACACAGGUCAGCUGUGAAAACUCGAGGCUCAACCUCGAGACGUCGGUUGAAACCGUAUGGCUAGAGUCCGGAAGAGGAGAGUGGAAUUCUCGGUGUAGCAGUGAAAUGCGUAGAUAUCGAGAAGAACGCUCGCAGCGAAGGCGAAGCUCUGGGCAAAUUCUGACGCUGAUGCACGAAGGCUAGGGGAGCAAACGGG